rnacentral:rRNA from 1 species
GAUGAACGCUAGCGGCAGGCCUAAUACAUGCAAGACGAACGGUAAGUUGAGUAGCAAUACUUAGCCAAGAGUGUCGUACGGGUGCGUAACACGUAUGCAACCUACCCUAUACAGGAGGAUAGCCUAGGGAAACCUGGAUUAACCCUUCAUAGUAUUAUUGGAUGGCAUCAUUUGAUAAUUAAAACUGAGGUGGUAUAGGAUGGGCAUGCGUCUGAUUAGUUAGUUGGCGGGGUAAUGGCCCACCAAGACGAUGAUCAGUAGGGGUUCUGAGAGGAAGAUCCCCCACACUGGCACUGAGAUACGGGCCAGACUCCUACGGGAGCAGCAGUAGGGAAUAUUGGUCAAUGGAUGCAAGUCUGAACCAGCCAUGCCGCGUGCAGGAAGAAGGCCUUCUGGGUUGUAAACUGCUUUUGCCAGGGGAUAAAAUUUCCAUGCGUGGAAAACUGAAGGUACCUGGUGAAUAAGCCACGGCUAACUACGUGCCAGCAGCCG